rnacentral:rRNA from 1 species
UACGUAGGGUGCGAGCGUUAAUCGGAAUUACUGGGCGUAAAGCGUGCGCAGGCGGUUGUGUAAGACAGAUGUGAAAUCCCCGGGCUCAACCUGGGAACUGCAUUUGUGACUGCACAGCUAGAGUGCGGCAGAGGGGGAUGGAAUUCCGCGUGUAGCAGUGAAAUGCGUAGAUAUGCGGAGGAACACCGAUGGCGAAGGCAAUCCCCUGGGCCUGCACUGACGCUCAUGCACGAAAGCGUGGGGAGCAAACAGG